GAGACCAUAGCAGCAGCAGCUGAAGCCGCCUUCCGCGACCACGAAACACACAACUCGCCCUAUCGGAGCGGAGACCGUGGAACCCUAUCGCUUCCCCAUGGACGGAUCUGGAGGAGGAGCGGCGGCGGAGGGGGACCUGGAGGCGGCGGAGAAGCUGAUCAUGCGGUGGGACUCGACCGCGUCUUCCGCCGCGGACGAGCGGAUGAUUUUCGACGGCGCGGACCGUUCCGACGCCGAGAGGUACCUCCGCGCCGUCGAUGAGCUCCGACGCUCCAUCAAGGACCCGGUCAUCGUCGGAAGCCCCCGGAGAUCGUCCUCCUCCUCGUCGCACUCCUCCUCGGAGAACGCGAUCCAAAUCGCCAUGGCGCGGCUGGAGGACGAGUUCCGCAACCUGCUGCUGACCCGGGCCAACGAGGUCGAGGUCGACGCGCUCGUCGAUCUGAGCUCGCUCUCGUUGAAUAGCUCGGCUUCCAUGGACGGGUACGGCGAUCUGUCUGACGCCGAGGGCGGCGGCGGCGGAGACGGUGGUGGAGAGGGAGAGGCCUUUUCGUCAGAUUCGGUGGGGGCGAGCAGCAGCAUACGGCGGAGCAGCAUACGGUCGACGAGGAGCAUCCGGGAGAUCGAUCUGCUGCCGGCUGACGCGGUCGAUGACCUCCGGAGCAUCGCGGAGCGGAUGAUCGCCGCCGGGUACGGCCGGGAGUGCGUCCAGGUGUACGCCGGCGCCCGGAAGGCGGCGGUGGACGUGUGCUUCCGGAAUCUCGGCGUGGAGAAGCUCAGCAUCGGUGAGGUCCAGCGUCUCGAGUGGGACGCCCUUGAGGCCAAGAUACGGCGCUGGAUUCGCGCCGCCCGGGUCUGUGUCCGGAUCAUCUUCGCCAGCGAACGCCGCCUCUGCGAGCACAUCUUUGAGGGCCUUGGCAUCGCCGAUGACGCCCCUUUCAUUGAGACUGUCAAGGGCGCGUCCAUCCAGCUCUUUGGAUUCGCCGAGGCCAUCAGCAUCGGUCGCCGGUCACCGGAGAAGCUCUUCAAGAUCCUCGACCUCCACGACACCAUCUCUGACCUCCUCCCGGACAUCGCCGUCGUGUUCCUAUCCAAGUCUGCCGAGUCCAUCUACACCCAGGCCACUGAGAUCCUCUCCCGGCUCGCGGAGGCCGUCCGUGGCAUCCUCUCCGAGUUUGAGAACGCAGUAUUUCGAGAUCCACCCAAGACACCGGUGCCUGGCGGCACAAUCCAUCCCCUUACUCGCUACGUGAUGAACUACAUCAGCCUCAUCUCAGAUUACAAGCCGACGCUCAUCGAGCUCAUAGUUACAAGGCCAUCUGCGAGCUCCCGGUUCUCUGGUGAUGAUCUCGCAGCUGCUGGUGCUGCGGUGCCAGAGCUUGAUUUCCCGGUGUCCGAGAACCAGACUCCCCUCGCCGCCCACCUGAUCUGGAUCAUAGUUGUUCUUGAGCACAAUCUCGAGAACAAGGCGAACCUUUACAAGGAUAAUGCCCUCUCCCACCUAUUCUUAAUGAACAACGUCCACUAUAUCGUCCACAAGGUGAAGGACUCACCUGAGCUCCGGGAAAUGAUUGGUGAUGACUACUUAAGAAAGCUCACCGGGAAAUUCCGGCUGUCUGCGACGAGCUACCAGAGGGCCACGUGGAUGAGAAUCCUUCACUGCUUGAGAGAUGAGGGGAUUCAUGUUAGUGGAAGCUUCUCAUCAGGCGUCUCUAAGUCCACUUUGCGGGAGAGGUUCAAAGCUUUCAAUGCUGCUUUCGAUGAGGCUCAUAAAACCCAAGCGACUUGGUAUGUGCCAGACACCCAGCUGAGAGAGGAGUUGAGGAUUUCAAUCUCGGAGAAGUUGUUGCCAGCAUACCGGUCUUUUCUUGGCCGGUUCCGGCUACAUAUAGAGAAUGGGAGACACCCCGAGAUGUACAUUAAGUACUCGGUUGAGGACCUUGAGAUUUCUCUGUCUGAUUUUUUCGAAGGGUGUGCUCCUUCUCUACACAACAGAAGAAGGUCUCAUUAAAAUCACAUGAUGCUUUCAGGACAGGAGACUGAUGAUUGUGUAAGCUGAUAUUCUUUAAAUUCUUAAAAGAGGGAAGCAAUAAGGAGACAAGUUUUAGCAGCACUGAUCUUUGGAUUAUUCAAGAACUUAGUGUUAUUGAUGGAGAGUUCAGAGACCCCACAUAAUAUCUGUAUCUGAUAUGAAGAUCUUGUUGGAGGACUCAAAUAACCCAUGGUUAUAGUUUCCCUCUGAUGCCCCAUGUAGUAAAGUAGAGGAUGCCCCAAGCUUUAUUCUUGCGUCAACAGAGAUCAGCUAUUGUCUUUGUACACGAAAUCACCAGUAAAGGUCUUGCCAAUGCUGUAAAUGUAUCUCUAGCAUUAAUUUCCCUUUAUAUUUUAACUGAGAGAGUAACUUUCUACAUUUUUUGUGUUUUGUUAUUUAUCAGAAACACGAUGUUAGGCAUUGAAAAGCUAUUGUUGGAUUGAUGUGGCCAUUGGCUUCAUUAACUUCUGUACAUUCU